AGAGUUUGAUCCUGGCUCAGGACGAACGCUGGCGGCGUGCUUAACACAUGCAAGUCGAACGGAAAGGCCCUGCUUUUGUGGGGUGCUCGAGUGGCGAACGGGUGAGUAACACGUGAGUAACCUGCCCUUGACUUUGGGAUAACUUCAGGAAACUGGGGCUAAUACCGGAUAGGAGCUCCUGCUGCAUGGUGGGGGUUGGAAAGUUUCGGCGGUUGGGGAUGGACUCGCGGCUUAUCAGCUUGUUGGUGGGGUAGUGGCUUACCAAGGCUUUGACGGGUAGCCGGCCUGAGAGGGUGACCGGCCACAUUGGGACUGAGAUACGGCCCAGACUCCUACGGGAGGCAGCAGUGGGGAAUAUUGCACAAUGGGCGGAAGCCUGAUGCAGCAACGCCGCGUGCGGGAUGACGGCCUUCGGGUUGUAAACCGCUUUCGCCUGUGACGAAGCGUGAGUGACGGUAAUGGGUAAAGAAGCACCGGCUAACUACGUGCCAGCAGCCGCGGUGAUACGUAGGGUGCGAGCGUUGUCCGGAUUUAUUGGGCGUAAAGGGCUCGUAGGUGGUUGAUCGCGUCGGAAGUGUAAUCUUGGGGCUUAACCCUGAGCGUGCUUUCGAUACGGGUUGACUUGAGGAAGGUAGGGGAGAAUGGAAUUCCUGGUGGAGCGGUGGAAUGCGCAGAUAUCAGGAGGAACACCAGUGGCGAAGGCGGUUCUCUGGGCCUUUCCUGACGCUGAGGAGCGAAAGCGUGGGGAGCGAACAGGCUUAGAUACCCUGGUAGUCCACGCUGUAAACGGUGGGUACUAGGUGUGGGGUCCAUUCCACGGGUUCCGUGCCGUAGCUAACGCUUUAAGUACCCCGCCUGGGGAGUACGGCCGCAAGGCUAAAACUCAAAGGAAUUGACGGGGCCCCGCACAAGCGGCGGAGCAUGCGGAUUAAUUCGAUGCAACGCGUAGAACCUUACCUGGGUUUGACAUGGAUCGGGAGUGCUCAGAGAUGGGUGUGCCUCUUUUGGGGUCGGUUCACAGGUGGUGCAUGGCUGUCGUCAGCUCGUGUCGUGAGAUGUUGGGUUAAGUCCCGCAACGAGCGCAACCCUUGUUCACUGUUGCCAGCACGUUAUGGUGGGGACUCAGUGGAGACCGCCGGGGUCAACUCGGAGGAAGGUGGGGAUGACGUCAAGUCAUCAUGCCCCUUAUGUCCAGGGCUUCACGCAUGCUACAAUGGCUGGUACAGAGAGUGGCGAGCCUGUGAGGGUGAGCGAAUCUCGGAAAGCCGGUCUCAGUUCGGAUUGGGGUCUGCAACUCGACCUCAUGAAGUCGGAGUCGCUAGUAAUCGCAGAUCAGCAACGCUGCGGUGAAUACGUUCCCGGGGCUUGUACACACCGCCCGUCAAGUCAUGAAAGUUGGUAACACCCGAAGCCGGUGGCCUAACCGUUGUGGGGGAGCCGUCGAAGGUGGGACUGGUGAUUAGGACUAAGUCGUAACAAGGUAGCCGUACCGGAAGGUGCGGCUGGAUCACCU
rnacentral:rRNA from 21 species